UAGGGAAUCUUCCGCAAUGGGCGAAAGCCUGACGGAGCAACGCCGCGUGAGUGAUGAAGGUCUUCGGAUCGUAAAACUCUGUUAUUAGGGAAGAACAAAUGUGUAAGUAACUAUGCACGUCUUGACGGUACCUAAUCAGAAAGCCACGGCUAACUACGUGCCAGCAGCCGCGGUAAUACGUAGGUGGCAAGCGUUAUCCGGAAUUAUUGGGCGUAAAGCGCGCGUAGGCGGUUUUUUAAGUCUGAUGUGAAAGCCCACGGCUCAACCGUGGAGGGUCAUUGGAAACUGGAAAACUUGAGUGCAGAAGAGGAAAGUGGAAUUCCAUGUGUAGCGGUGAAAUGCGCAGAGAUAUGGAGGAACACCAGUGGCGAAGGAGACUUUCUGGUCUGUAACUGACGCUGAUGUGCGAAAGCGUGGGGAUCAAACAGG
rnacentral:rRNA from 1 species